CUUGUUGGGACGCUUCCAGGAAGAGCGUCGCCGAAUUUCCAAAAAGAUUGGGUGCCAUCUUUCAGGACGAUCUGGAAAAUUGCGUUAAUUUAAAUCAUGCAAGAACUUCAAUUUGAAAGAUAGAACGGAUUAGCAUUUCCAACGUCACAAGGUGUUCAAGAGAAAUAAUUCAUUUCUGUCAGAUAUUCAAACGAAGAGACAUAUGAUGCAUAAGAAACCGAAGGAAUAAUGAGGUGCAUGGCCAGAAAAACCCUCAUAGAGGCCGGAAAAAAAAAUUGUUGACUCGAACAGUCGCUCAAAAAAAAAUCCUUUGGCCUGCGCUGAAAGAUCAAGACGAGUGGUUUGCAUGACUAAAGAAUCUAUUAUCUCUUCUUCCUACGAAUGAUAAUGAAACCCCAGCAAUUCUAUUAACCCUAAUUACACGCGUGCCUAGACUUUCUGAAGAGGAUUUAAACAGGCAAAGAGUCAUCAUUUUUCUUCGAGCCAACGUUUCAACAUUGGAGGUAAAUCAAAAGGAAUGAGAACCAGGUUCAUAGUCAGUCAGGUGAAAUAAUUAGACAUUAAAUUAAAUAUUGUUAAUAACUAAAAAUUGCAGUUGGUCAGCUGCAAACCGGGAAACGUCAUCAUGGUCCAUGCAGAAAUCGAAGAAAUGAGAUGGACCCGGGCGUAUCGCAGUUCAUAGAAAUCUUAGAGCUCUCAUCAAUCACCCAUGGAAAGAGAAAUGGCAUUGUCAGAUAUUCUCCUCGCAGAUGUUCCACGUAGACGUCCUCUCGACCGCUUUUAAGGAUCUCGACGUCGUGAAAGCUAUCCCAUUGUGCUGAUCGUUAAACCCGAAGGUGCACCGCGAGUCGUAAAGUCGACGCCAUCUCCCAUCGUCGCCAUUCGUCUUAUAAUAACUAUUUUCCCGGCUUUCCAGUGGUUUCUAACAUUUUUUACGAUACGAUAAAAAUUACGAUAGAACGAAUUGAUCCCGAUCCGGAGCAGAUCUCCGUCCCACACCUAUCACCGACCUCGAUACCUUGAACUGCACGCUUAGAAAAUCCACCGAGAAGAGCCAAAUUGCGAAUACGAGUACAUGCCUAUUAAAAAUUAAAAAUUAAAUAUUAAACACAAUAAUAUUUCCGGAAA
rnacentral:lncRNA from 1 species